rnacentral:lncRNA from 1 species
AGCUUGGUAAGAAGGGAAAGCCUUGUUGCAAACAGUACACUUAUAAGAGAGAUUCAAAGCCGGUGGCUGUGGUGGCGGCGGAGAAGGAGAUGCCGAUUUGGCGGAGGUGGAGGUAGAGGUGGAGGUGGAGGUGGAGGUGGAAUUUCCUCCGCGAGCAAGCAUGAUAAGGCAAAGAGCGAGAUACUCUUCUUCAGUAGGAGCUGGGGAUUCACUGCGUGGCCUCUUGGAACGUUUUCUUUUAGUCCAAGUAUC